rnacentral:tRNA from 1 species
GGUCGUUUAGCUCAGUGGAUAGAGCGUCAGCUUCCUAAGCUGACGGUCAAGGGUUCGACCCCCUUAACGAUCA